AUUACAUUUCCAUAACAAUGUGGUAAUGUGGGCAGGAUGGUCCAUGUGGUCACUUAAAAACAGCUCCUCAGUGCCUCAGUCCUGCUGGCUGUCGAAUUGAGAAAAUGGAGAAGGUGCAGGAUUGUGUGUUUUAGCGACCACUGACACCAUCUAAAGCACCCCUUGUUUAACUUCCUAUUGUUAUUUUAUCAAGUUAUUUUCAUAUACUUUUAAUGAUUGUAGUAGAGUGUGUAGUAGAAUAGAUGGCAGACAUUUUGUGUCAUAAGCCACUGCCUCUGUUAAGAGAUGGUUGUUCACAGUGGACAUAGGCUGUGUCCCAAUUCAUCAACCGCACGCUUCUUAGUAGUGAUGUGACGUUCUGUAUCAAGGCUUCGAAGCUUGUGUCGAGUAAUUGAGGGGGCGUUUCUGCGAUGCACGUAUCGAGGCUUCAUUUAUAGGAGGAGCUGAAAAUGAUGACGUCCGAAGCCUCGCUGCCCGGCUGUAGCACGUGACUGGUUCAGGAAGUGGUUCGAACUUUGCCGCGAGCUAUGACAGCGAUAUAAACCCCUCAGACUUCAUUCAAAAUUUGGGUGUUUGAUGGAGAGUUGCGGUUAGUGAGAGUUUGGAGGUUGGAGUGAGGAGAGAAAGUCAGGAGAGAAUGGAGCCAGCUAAGAAGAGGAGGAUGUCCUCCCCUGUGUGGGAACAUUUUGAUCUUAUUCCUCCCAACAAGGUAUGUAAAGUUCUACAGAAGAUGUAUUUUCAUAAUACUGAUGGUGCAAUACAAUUUAUUUUAAGCUGUCUUUACUUUUGUACAAGGUGAAGUGUUUGCUAUGUGCCAGGGAGCUCGGAUAUAACAGCAACACCACAUCCAUGCUCAGGCACUACAGAGCUUUGCAUGAGAAUAAGGGGAACACCGAUUGUGGAGCAAGACCAGGAGAACAAUCUCAAAUAGAUGAAGACCUGGUUAGCAUGGUGAUUGAGGACUCCCAGCCAUUUAGCAUUGUGGAGGACAAAGGAUUUAAAAGAUCUGUUCAAUCAUUAAAUCCUAGCUAUGUUCUCCCCACUAAAAAGGUCAUAAAAGCAGUGAAAAUCUAGUUUUUACAGAAUAAAAUGUGAACAGGCAGACAAGCACAACCACUGUCCAUACCCCAACCACACCUCACCUCACAGUAAAUGAUCAUUUCCAUUUCAAGCAUUUCCAAAUAAUCAUGUUCCAUAUUGCCAGUAUAAAUAUACACAGUAUACUGCCAUAACUACAAUAUGCAUGUUUUACACACUCCUGUUGUUGUUGACAUUUACAGGCUGUGUGCAAAAUGCCACACUCUUCAAAUUCAUGCCAACUAAUAUUUUUACGUCCAGUAGAUGUCCUACUAGAGCAAAUGAAGCUUCAAGAAGCUUUGCGCUGGGGUGAACCAAUUAGAUGAAAAGCUUCAGUGCUUCAUGAAGCUUCAUCUGCCCAUCACUACUUCUUAGUGCAACAGACUUUGCAUUUUUGGAAAUUUAUAUUUACCCACAACUUAUAGGGCGAUCGUGGCUCAAGAGUUGGGAGUUCCUCUUGUAAUCGGAAGGUUGCCGGUUCGAGCCCCGGCUCGGACAGUCUCGGUCGUUGUGUCCUUGGGCAAGACACUUCACCUACCGCCUACUGGUGAUGGCCAGAGGAAGGAAUUGUGGAAGUAUGGAAGUGUGGUUGUCACAAUUGAGAGUAAUUCUUCAGAUUAGAAAUAGGUGGAUCUCAGCUUCCCAAUUUCAAUUAAAAUCAAAAACACAAAAAAUCACAGGAGAGGAACAAAGUUCUAUGCCAGCUGUUUUAUUAAACAGUGCAGCUCAGCAAAACAGAAGGAAAAGCAAAGCUCCCCUUGGGUUUUCGCCGUAAGCGCAUGCAGGUUGGGACCAACCCCAACAGACAGACAGCAGGAAAAAGCCCCGAGGUCUUUCCCAGGCCCCCUUUUAAAGGUACCAGUAGUCCCACCUCCUGCUGCUGAGUAACUUUCCCACGUGCCCAGGAACAGCAGGUGCAGGGUCAAGUACAGGCCAGGGUUGAGCCAGGGCUCUGGCUGAGGGCCCUGCCCAAAAGGACACCCUUAGGUUAACCCUUUGCUUUGCCUUUUGACAAUAGGUCACAACAUGGUCAAAGGUCACACAUUAGUACAGUAAACAGCAUAGUUUUUGUGAUAAUCUUAUGAUAGUCAUGUGAAUAAUACUUGACCUAACUGCAUCAAAUAUAUGAGUUAAAUGCUUUACAUAAAAAUAAACACUCCAGUGUAGGUUUAUAGAGUGUGCGUGUACAUGACAGUGAUUUCAUUAUGUUGUUUUCAGCGUCUCUGUUAUCCUGUAAGAGAUACGUAGCAUUUAGUGUGUGUGUGUGUGUGUGUGUGUGUGUGUGUGUGUGUGUGUGUGUGUGUGUGUGUGUCACCGCGUGCCUAAGUUGUUUGAAGACGUUUCACCUCUCAUCCGAGAAGCUUCUUCAGUUCCAGGGUCAAAUGGUGAAGAGUC
rnacentral:lncRNA from 1 species